AUGCUCUUGCUGCCUCUUCGUCUGUGUCCUUCCAGCAAUGGUAUGGUCUGUAGACUUCGCCGCUCCCUCUAUGGUCUUAAACAGGCCCCUCGUGCCUGGUUUGAGCGCUUCGCCUCUGCGGUGAUUGUCGCUGGUUUCUUGCCCAGUGAUCAUGAUCCCGCAUUGUUUGUCCGCACGUCUCCUCGUGGUCGGACUCUUCUCCUUCUCUAUGUUGAUGACAUGAUCAUCACUGGUGACGACUCUAACUACAUUGCCUUUGUUAAGGCUCGCCUUCGCGACCAGUUCCUCAUGACUGAUCUUGGUCCACUUCGCUAUUUUCUUGGGAUUGAGAUCUCCUCAACCUCUGAUGGCUUCUACAUCUCCCAAGAAAAAUAUAUUCAGGAUCUUCUUGCUCGCGCUGCUCUCGAUGAUGAGCGCACUGUUGUGACUCCUAUGGAGCUCAACAUUCAGCUUCGUGCCUCUGAUGGUGACCCCCUUCCUAAUCCCACUCACUAUCGUCACCUUGUUGGCAGUCUUGUCUAUCUCGCUGUUACGCGUCCUGACAUCUCCUAUCCUGUCCACAUCCUGAGUCAGUUUGUUUCAGACCCCACCUCUGUCCACUAG
rnacentral:rRNA from 1 species